UCACUGAACGAAUAAAUGACCUACUAUCUAAAGGACAGUUAAGUACCCAUAGAGUAAACAUGGGAAAAUAAUUUGGAAAUGACUGAAACUCCAUUGAUUCAACCCUUAGGGAUUAAAGGGUUAGUUUUACAUUCGACCUAAGGAUUUUAAACUCUUAGCUCCACCACCUGUGCCCUGUUAAAAUCUUAUAUAGCCUUUCAGAUACCCUAGAAAGUGGGACAACAAAGCAUGGAAACAUAGUAUCACAGAAGUAAAGACGGAGAAAAUUUCAAGGGAGAGGAAGUAGCCAGUGGCUCAAACACUGCUGAGAGGUUUCAGAAGCUAAGGGCUGAGAGGCAGAAUUUGAUUCGGUAAAAGGGAAGUUGCUCACUUUAUGACUUCCCACCUGCCUCAAUUCCCUCAUGUUGUGAAAUGAGGAAAGAAAAUCUUGUUCUACGAGCCGGACAGGAGCAUUCCUUGUGAUGGUGCGAAGAUUGUGCUUUGAAAGAGUAUUGGUUAGAAGUGCAUUUCGCUGCAUGUAAGAGAAAUCAAAACACAAAGUCUUAACCAAGUGGAUUUUAUUUUGCUUAGUUAAGGAGAAGUUUUGAGACAAGCCAUGAAGAGCUGUUACAAAUGUUGAAGGUAGGCAUCAAGGACCUCUGGACCUUUGGCUGUUUAUUCCCCCAUUUGUCGUGUGUGGGUUUCAUCCUCAUGGUUGCAGUGGCUGCUCAGCCUCCAGCCAUCAUUCCUACCGAGAAGAAGAGAAAAAGACAUGCAAAAUUCCCAUAUUAUCCGAGUCUAUUUUCAUCAGAAGCCCCCAUCCUGUAGACUUUGCUUACAGGUCAUUAGGCCAAAUUGGGUGACACGGCUGCUCCAAUGUGUAGAGGAGUCUGGGGAUGUGAGUAUUUUCACCUGAGCACAUUGCCAGUCAUUUCUUCUGGCAAGGGAGCAGAGAACCUAUACUGGGGAAGCAACCGGCAGUAUCUUCUGUGGGGUGAUUAUGUGAGAAAGGUUAGGCUUGAACAUAGCAGCAUGCAGCCUUUUUAGACUUAUUACUUUUCUUUGUGAGAGACAAAAAUAUUAAAGCAAUCCAUUUGAUUCUAAUUCUAACAGGAAGUAAAGAAUAAAUCAUCAGCCCCGGGCUAGUUUUCCUCAUAAAAUGGGGGACACUUAGAGGGAUCCACGUCCUCUAAAUCUCUGUGUUCCAGCCCUUUUGGUCUUACCGACAGGGCCUCCUAUUUUUUAAAAUUAAAUUCCACCUUGCAAAAGUAGUUGGAAAAAUCCAAGCACCUCAAGUUGCUAGGAGACCCAAGGGGCUUUAUUGGGUGAGCGAUCUGGGGCCUGCGUGGCUGAAUUUCUCUCUCCUGAUGACAGACAUGCCUGAAACGUGUUUAAUCUCCAAAGCUGUGUGGAGGUGGGCAGAGUUUCAGCUCUGAGCAGAGGGCGAUCCCCCCAUCACAGGCUGUGGCAAGUUCUCCCGAAGAGAAGCCACAGGCUGCCGAAGUACAGAAAAGGGUUUGCGACCUUCCUUCCAUCAGGCGGCGACCCUGCUAGAGCAGUCCCAUCUUCAGGAACCCUCUGCCCUCACCCUGUUAAGGCUUGCUCCCCGGGUUGCUAUUCUCAGACCAGCGAGCUCCUGGGGCAAAGGGUCUGUGCGAUGCAGCCUGUGGUCUCCGAGACGAGCCGUGGAUGCCAGGAUGGAUCUGCUUUUCCUCCCAACCCCCCCCCCCCCGCCCCCGCCCCGCCAUCUUUCUGCCCUGUCUCCCUGCCCUUCCCCCCUCAUUGCUGGAGUGAUAUCUUUGUUAGCUAAAUUGAGCACGUGCCAGAUGCCCUUCAUCUAAAUGAGCAAGUGCUUUCUGGGACGCGGCCUGAUGAAAGCAUAGCCGAGCAGAGCUCCGUGAGCGCGCCAAACCCGGGCUGCCGGAAAGGAAAACCGUGUUAUUUUAAGAGGACUGCGUGUGCCGGCUCAUGGUCAGACACCAGGAAGAGGCAGAGUCGCGUAGCAGGAUCUUCAUUCCUGUGCAGCCCUCCCGGCCCGGCACCCUCCGGCUGCAGAUGAGAGAUGGCUCUGGGGAAAUUCCAUUCUGUAAUUCAUUUAAGCAGGAUAAACAGAGCUCCCGCUCUGGAAGAUUCGGCCCAGAGCACAAGGCGCUCGGCGUCUGCAUGGGGUCUCGGAUGUCCACGGGCACACAGGAGUCAGGCGACCUGAGAUGCAGCCGGCCCUGACACCAAAAAGCCAUCGGACCUGAGAAAUUCCUAGUCCUGGCUGGACCCCCGCACGUGACGGACACCGGGACAGCAAUUGAUGAUCACACCCGCGUCCAGCCUAAUGCUCUCUGACAGGAGGGAGCACAGAGCACAGUCACCAGUAAAGAAGAGACUCCCAUGCAGAAGAUGCCAAAUGAAGACAAGAGUCCCUGUAGGAUGAGAAGUCACGUGGAGGAGAGGUGAGGCACAUCACCCAACAACCAGCCAUGUUGGCAGAGAUUUAAGGAAAUUCUUUGGGGAGGCCCCUGCAAAGUCUGUCUUCUAAAAUAUGAAUGGUGUUGAUGGAAAAAGCUGAAAAGCUUUUUUUGAGCAUGAAUCGGACUACCAUCAUGUGGAUACUGAAUCUGCUGGUGUCAUGAUCUCGGACUUCCUGGCCUCCAGACUGGGGGAAACAAAUUACUCCACAGGUGCAAAAGGUGAAAGGCACUUGAAGACCCAGAAGAUGGGAGGCCGUCAUCUCACCACAACCUUGGUGAAGCCAACAGGGGUGAGAAUAUUCGAAACUUGCCUCAAUGCGGUAAGCGUCUGUUUUCCCCUUUCCCACCUCAGGCGGAGGGGCAGCAGGCCUUCGGAGGGGCAUUAAUCUGGAAACAUCUCAGAAGGGAGGGUGAAGAGCCAUGCCUUGACUAGAUGGAAGCAGCCAGAUCUGGAGAAAGGGUUCUAACUUCUCCCAGGCUUGCAAGGGGUGGGAUGGUCGAGGAACAUGGGGAGGCAGAGAUUGGGUGGCUAGUGGAUGCCAGGUCUGUGGUAAGGGAGGAGGAGAGCUCUGAGGUCCUCUCUGAGUUGCCGGGAGGGCCCAGAAGACAGAUGGUGAGGGACUGGGAUCAGCUGUAGCUUCAUGUAGCCAGAGGAGCAGUGGUAAAGAGGGAUACCACCAGGGUCCAAGGACACAGUCUCCCUUCCUACCCCUGCCAUUGGGUAGUGCCAUAUAAGCCCACGUUUCUUGUAGGCUCCCAGGAUAGGGGAAGGGAGCACCCUAAUUUCUUUGGCUGCUAAAUUUCAUUUUGGAGAAAUAAGGGAAUGUGACAUUCCCUGAAUUCGAUACGGUGGCCUGAAAUGCAGGGCUAAUGAUAUGGCUCUGUGACCUGUCCAGUCACCCAGGACCUCAUACCUAAAAGAGCCCCCCGCACUUCAAUGCCCUGCUGUCACCAUCUUGAAACUCUUAAUACGUUUUGGACGAGGAGCCCCAGUUUCAUUUUGCACUCACAUGCCGAUUGUAUAGCUGGUCCUGUGAAAAUGCAUGGCUGCUGCAUCCCCACAUGGCAGAUGCUUCAAAAGUCUUGCAUCUUUAGGAGCACUCCUCGCCGAGUACUGUGGAGUACUGGGAACUUAUUGAGAAUGCUCACCACCAGGCAAACCCACCGUACGUCCACAUGCAUCAUGACCCCCUCAUGCCUAUUCAUGCUGUUGUGUUUCUAUAAUGCUCAUUCACCAAAGGAGUUGGUUACGUUCGUCUCUCCCGUGAAAGUAGGGCUAAAUAUAAACUUAAUAUGUAUUAUUAUGACGCUAUAUAUGAAAGCCAUGGUGGUGCAUAGAAGGGGUAGCCAAGAUGAAAGCAAAGCUGCUGGGGGUGUGGGGGGGGGGCGUUUUGUCAGCGGGUUCCAGUGGAGCAGGCUCGAAAGUCACAUGUGUGUGUCAAGAGUCCCAGCCUGGUCCCAGGAACGAGCACUUGCCUAGUGCUGACAGUUUGGAGUAUUUCUCUCUGCACAGCACCCUCUUGUUUUUCGGCCUGAAAUUUGCACAGAUCUUCAGAAGCUGUACAUCAAUCUGGACUCUUUGUAUAUAUUUGGAGCUGAAUAAUGUGCUUUUGAAGCCAUCAGAUCCUGACGUUUAUGAUGUCUUCCAGUUGGCCCCCAGGUUCUUGGGACUUAAAUGGCUGCUUUAUGGAGUGAGGACACUUUUUUCCAAGGUUCUGAAAUUUGCACAGCUCUAGCCUGAGGUUUCCAGAAGCACCCGGCCAGUACCUGGGUGUUUGUGGAUGCUGGGCGGAAAUGUCCCCCAGAGAUGAGGGAUAUGACCAGGGGCUAGGAGACUGGGGUGCAGCGCCCCUCUGACACAGACUCCUCCAUGCCCUUAUUCACUCUCUCUCAUUGCAGUCCGCUUUCUCUAUAAUUAGCACAGGACAGCUGCCUCCGUUUCCUUACAGGUAGCUUUAAUCACCCACCACGGGGGUAUCAGGCACAGACCGAAGUGCUAAGGGGAAGGAGAUGUUGUCAGGGGCUUCAUGCCAGGUUUUAUUACGGGCUUGCGGUGUUCUGGGCAUUGCUCUAAGCCUCUCUCAUGGGUGAUUCUAUUUAACUCUCAAAACUACUCAGUGAACCAGGCACUCUUAUCAUCUCCUUUUAGCAGCCAAGAAAAAUGAGACAUUGAGCGGCCAAAGAAACUAAGGCAAGCUAGCAAGUGUUAGAGCCGGAACUCAAAGCCUGGCUGAGCCUGCCAGUGGGAUCCUGUGCAUGCUCACCCAGCAGGCUGGUAGAGAGAGGAGACUAAUUACAACAAGGACCCCAGAGCAAAGGUGCGAGCUGACACCCCUGAGAAAUGUGGGGUGUUUGAGCAUGAGAGAGGCCAGGAGGCAGCAGCUUCAUGGGGGAGAUGGUGCUACCAAGCAGUGGAGAAGCAGGGCACCCUUCGCUUACCAGACAGUGACCGGAUACGGGGCGGGGGGGCCCACCCCCAUGGUGCCCAAGCCGAGCCAGUCACAUAGGUGAGCAGUUGGUGAAGAGGGGCCGUUCUGAGUACUACCCAGUACAGGUAACUCAGAUUGUCUUCGGGUGUGGUGUCCCCAAAGACACUUGGGCAGCCUCUACAGGAGAAGGUCCUGUCACCUGGAAGAAAGGCGAGGUUCAGUGAAAGACCUCGCCCACCAGAAGCUUGAGGGACGCCCAGAGGAAAGCUUGCUCUGCUUUGUGCCCUAAUGAAGGAGCAUGAGGCAGGAGGGUGGGUCUACUCCAGGCACUGGGAACAGCUGUCAGAGCUCAGCAGAGGAGCGGUCACAUGGAAUGCAAGAGUGGGAGUAUUUGGGUGAAUUUCAGGAAAAUGCCACGGACGUAGGUCAAAAACCGGAGAAUAUUGGCAAUUUCAUUUGUUAAUUCUAAUCCAACCCAGCCAGCAGCUGACUGUCAGCUAUGGCUGGGAGAGGAUAGGUGCUCACAGUGGACAAGUUAGUGCCGGGAGCAGCCAGCACGGGGAGGACAGACACACUGGGUCACAGAAGAGGACAGAUGGGACACAUGUGUGAGGCAUCCAAGAGCACCCUGGAACCUGGAGACAGAAACUUGAUGUGGCUGCCGAAUUUCCAUCAGCAGAAGCUGGAGGUGGGGGCCAAUGUCCUGUGAAUAUCAUUCAAACCCUGUUCUGAGCUGGUGUGGCCCAGGAAUGAGGGUCACAGGCAUACAGGCAGAGGUGGCCAGGCUGGCAGUGUCAGCUAAGCAUCACUGCCACCCAUGGUCUGGGUGAUCAAGGGAGGCUUCUUGGAGGAGGUGAACCCUGAGCUAAUCCUUCAAGGGUGGGUGGGAAUUAAAAACAUGUGCGGAGAAGAGGAGACGGUGAAAAGUGGAGAGAUCUAAACUUCAAAAGAUAUUUUAAAAUAGGGAAAGUCACAAAAUAGCAUGGAUACUGUGAUUCCUUUUUUUGUUAAAAACGUGAGGGAAUAUAUACAUAUAUGCAUAUAGACACUCGUAAAUAUUCAACAAAUGAUAUAUGGAAGAGUAUUUAUUAAAAUAAUAACUAUGCUACCAUUAUUGGGUGGUUUUUACUUCUUUUUGUUCACCGGUAUUUUCAAAUUGUUCUACGAUAAGCAUGUAGUACUCAUGUAACAUAUAGAAUAUAGGCUGCCUUAAGUCCUAUCAAUAUGCAAAUACCUCAUGAAGGAAGCUCCACCUGACUGUAAGUUGCAAUGCACUUACGGGCAUGUACUCUGUAGGUUUGAUUCUGUCUCCACAACUUACUAGCUAGUGAAAUGGAAUAAUGAUAGUACCUACCUCCUAGGCUCUUCUUUUUUUUUUUUUUUUAAUAUAAUGUAUUGUCAAGUUGGCUAACAUACAGUGUAUACAGAGUGCUCUUGGUUUUGGGUGUAGAUGCCCGUGAUUCAUCGCGGCAAUACCCGCUGCUCAUCCCAACAAGUGCCCUCCUCAAUGCCCAGCCCCUAUCUUCCCCCCUGCCCCGCACCCCCCGUCCUAGGCUCUGUUUGAACUCAGUAAAUGUUAUCAUUGGCUUUUCUCUCUCUCUCCUGAAUACCACUUUCAACCAUGCAUGUGAAGUUGGUAUAGACCGGAGGUGUAAGCCUAAGAUUCUGCAUUUCUUUUUUUUUUUUAAUUUUUUUUUAACAUUUUUAUUUAUUUUUGAGACAGAGAGAGACAGAGCAUGAAUGGGGGAGGGGCAGAGAGAGAAGGAGACACAGAAUCGGAAGCAGGCUCCAGGCUCUGAGCCAUCAGCCCAGAGCCCGACGCGGGGCUCGAACUCACGGACCGUGAGAUUGUGACCUGAGCUAAAGUCAGACGCUCAACCGACUGAGCCACCCAGGCGCCCCAAGAUUCUGCAUUUCUAACAACCUCUAGGAUGUCACAUUGCUGACUCAUGGACCACACUUCGAGGCAUGAAGAAUUCCUUUACAGCUUGGUGAAGCCACAGGACCACAUUCCGGUCAAUGAGGUGAAGGCUUUAAGAGAAUCGAAUCAGGUGUGAGCAGGCUGUGCAUUGGUCAGGUCUGGGCUGAAUCCACCCCAAACCCAAGGAGCCUGGAAGAAUUUUGGUAACCAUGAAGAUGCUGUCUCCUCUGGAAUCUUCCAGCCUUCAUGAGAGCCGGGUGUUGGUUGUGCAGAGGGCUCUGCAUGAGGCCUUUCGUGAAUACCAAGUGGUGUGAGUUGCAUUCUGCAGACAGCACCCUGGUUAUCUUGAUGGGCAGGGACACUACUGAGAACUAGGUGGGAAGCUUUCUUUGUUGAUAAAAGGAGUCUACCUGACAACGGUUACUGGUUACUACGAGGAGCUUCUGUUUGGGGGAGAAACAUCAGCCGCCUGGGGUGCAGGGUUUCAGCCAGCCCUGCUCCAGGGAUCCAACAGUAAACAAGGCCCAUGAGGCGCUCCAGAGGUCAGAAGCUGAAAACAGACACCCACAGCCAGCUCUUCACAAACAAGAGUCUUUAUUUUUAUGAUGUACCCCGCCCUCUGUCAAAAAAAAAAAAAAAAAAGUGGGGAGAGCAUUAUUUAAAUGGCUGGUUUUGUAGCAAAGAGCUUGAAACUCAGAUCGGUGCCCGGCACAGUGGAGCCAAAGGGAAAGGAUUGAUUGAUCGCAGGCUCUGGGAAGCCCUCCACCUCUGCAGGACCCCUCCCUCUGGAGUUCUGUAGAAGGGAGGAAACACACACCCAGAUUGCACAAGAGAUCCAGUCCUUGGUUGGCCCAAAUGGAUCAAGAAGAAGUCCCAGGAGCUCUGUGAAAGCUUCUUCCCCUUGGUGGCUGGGCCUCACUUCACAGGCCUAGAUAAUCCCUCUCCUGCCCUGUCAAGAUCCUGAGGUGUUAUCAGUCUCUCCAGCCAAAAGGCCCAGCCCAAGUCGGCUCCCAGGAGAAGUUUCCACACAACAUUACAUUCUUCAGAAACCUGUCUCCUUUGAUUAACAAGACCUUUUAGCUUUCUUUUGAAUUCUAUAUAGAUGGCCAGAACGCACCCACACACAGUGUCCCGCUAACGGCUGAGGGUGGAGAAGUGUCUCCUGGUGUUGGGGUAACCUAGAUCUGAGCUUUGCCAGCAAAGUCAGUGUUACACCCUAUGUGACACGGGGUUUACCCUAACCAGUAAGUGUUCAGAAUCAUUAUCACAGCUCCCUCUUCAUUAAGAGCAUUCAAUGGCUUUCCAGUUGCUCUGCCGACACAGACUAAAAUGGCUGACAAGGCUGACAAGGCCCUAAAGGUUCUGGCCUGGGCACUGAAACUUUGAGCACGUUCCCAAAGCCAGGGCCACUUUGCACACUGAUAAUCUCAGGGUGGAUAGCACAGCAGGGGCCGGACAGACUCUGAUUCACUAGCCCCACAUCACAGUCCUCCAUUCAUCCCUCAUAAGAUACUGACAGAAAGAAUGAUAAGAGGCAAAUAUCCGGAUGACAAACUAAAAACUCUUCCAGUCAAAGAGACCGAGCACAGACUCAGUGUUGGAAUCCAAAAGCCAUUCAGUGGGCUUUCUAUCAUGCUGGCAGCUGCAACCCCCAAGUGAAGACAGAGACCAUGGUGUCUUGAAGCAAGAGAGCAGGUGGAUGUAAUUCUCGGGUAGCAGAAGGCCCCUCUAUUUGGUGCCCUGCAGUAGCAGAGGAAUACUGUUUACACAGCCUGUAAGGUGCCCCCUUAAUACUGCCUCCCGCUUAGGGGGGAUUGCCAGGCAUCUCCCUCCUUCUCUUUGACUGGGUAUCAGCUACUGUUCCCUCAGCUACCAGGACAGUCCUCAGAGGUCAAGAGACAUCAGUCACAAAGCUUUCCUGUGUGAACAGUGCUCCCUGGGGUUCUGCAAGGCAGGGGCCUUGACUUCACUUCCUGAAGCAAGCCCUCCUGAUCCUCCUGACCGGUCCAGAGCUAUGAGACCCCUCCUGGAUGUCAGAGAGUAGUUGAUCAGAUCUGUCUCCCCUCCUAGACUAGAAGCUCUGCUCUUCUGUUGGUGGGCUUUCUCACUGUUCUAUCCCCACUUGGCCCAUGUCCUACCAGGGAGUAGAAGUUGAAUGAACAAGUUCGCAUUUUCCCACCCCCUGACUAUUCCAGGCCUGCCGCCCACCUCGAGCUCCUGACACUCUGAUGCACAGUCUUCGGAGGCAUCGAUGACCUCUGUGUUGGCACUUUUUCUCUUUCUUGGAACAGGGAUGGUGCUGAGUAAUUUUGUUGCCUGGAGCUAAAAACUCCCCAAGGCCACUUCCCUGCGUGUGGGACUCGUGGCAUCACUGAGAUAAAUCGGCUUUCCUGCCUGGCCUGCUUCUACACAUGGACACCCUUUCCAAACAUCUUUUUGUGAUUUGACCUUCCCUUGAUGCUCAUUAUAACUGAAAUCCAGGAAUAUAGAGCUGUGGGAUGGGGGAGGAUGAGCAGAGCAAGGGGUGAGGGAAGCAGGCGCGCAGGGCUCCAAGUGUCAUUGCCAGUAGGCAUGCCACAGGUGAUGUUCAGCUGUGUCCCUGUCCCCAGACUUCCUCCCCAGAACCAGUGGCUCUCAGUUAGGAAUCCAAUAUUUCAUGACUAUUGUUUCUGUAAACAGAAUCACAUUUUUCCAUUACUUUCUAUCAUCACACAUCAAAAUAAAUUCUCAUAUAAAAAGGUUUUGUUCCUAAGAUAUAAUACAGAUCACAAUAAUAAUAAACCAAGCAUAUUUUAAUCAUGGCCUUGGAAAAUGAGAUGUUUUUGAUAAAAAUUAGUAAAAAUCAUGAACAUGGUACCAAAACGUUAAGGAAUUGCUGAAUCCUGUCUUCCUCUGGGAUGAGCCUCCCUUAUCUCGAGUGACAGGAAAAUAUUUUCUUUUAAAACUCAAUGGUCGUAACUGUCUCUUCUAAAGUCUUCGAUCCGUGGUGGUGGUUUAUUACCCAGUUCAGAUUCAGGGAGAUUAAGGCCACCAACUUCUUUUAUAUAGAAGAUGAGCUUCUGUUGACCAUAAAGAUUGUUUCCAUGAUCCAUGAUUUUCCGGGUAUGGACACGAGGCUCUAUUUUGUCUAAUUGAGCAGAACUCAUCAACAGGUGCUUAUAGAAGCACCCAUGUUCUGUUGGUCCCUGGGCCCAGGUGGCUUGCGUCCAGCAGAGAUCCUAGCCUGGGUGGACACAUCAAGCUUUAUCCUUGCCAGUAGUCCUUGUGACCCAGUGAUAACUUAAGGAUUUAUUGACAUCAUUAUCCUAUUAUUAUUUAUUUUGUAUGGUUAUUAUUUUAUUUUGUAGCCAGCUACCUAAUACUUUUUGAACAGGAGACGUUAUUUUACUUUAUUCAGCUGUUAAAAUGUUUUGCAGCCGUUAAGAUACCCAGAGCCCUCAGGGGACGCCGGAUGGCAACCGAGUUGUUUGGGGAUCUGCAAACCCCCUUUGAGGGGCUGAGAACCGGCACUGGGAAAUCUCCAGGUGAGCCUAUUUUCUCUUGCCCACCUGCUACCCAACCCCCACUCUCACUUCCAUGGAUACUUCCAGAGUCCCAGCAGCCGUGAUGUUUCCCUUGGCUGCUGGAGCUAAAAUUGAGACACCAGUGCCUCCCUGGCAAGGGGUGGGUUGUGGACAAAGAAAUAAAAUUUCUGCCCAUGAACCAUGUGCGGGAAUGUCCAGCUGUACCAGAAGGAAAUAUCCCCCCACCCCGGGCCUAAUUUUUACCAAUCUGAGACAUGUUGGUUCCCAUUUCCCCUCCCACUGCACCCCCUUGAACGGUCUCCAUCAGGCUGCCUAGGCUGUCCUACUGUCUAGACUCUGAAAGUCACGGCAUCCGACACCUCAUUCGUCAGCAACAAUGACUUAAAUGCUGUUCCCUCAUCAUCAUGGUCUAGCGAGGAAGGGAGUAUAUUUCCUCAUAGGGAGGAGGAGAGAAGCAGGUGGAGUCCUCUUCUCCCAGCUGUGUCUCUUCCAGCUGGUCAGCAUCAGGGCCGGACCUGGCAGUGGGAGCAGAAAACACAGACCCGUUACAGCCCACGACGCGUGUCUCAAAGCCGACGCCGCCACCCUGGGAAGAGGCCACACAGACCUUCGCAUUCUCCCGACACCCUCCUUCUAGACCGGACAAAGUCACGGGCUGUGACUGUGACACCCGCAAGGGGACCGUCCCCCCUCCACACCACGUACCUGUCAUUUCCACCAGCCACAAUCGAAGAGUAGUCUUGCUCUCCAAUAAACGUGGCGUUGUCUGGAGGGUAGAUGGUGUAGUACUGAGGAGGACUUGGCGUGGCCGUCACCACCCCUCCAGGUGGUAUGAGACCACAGGGGUUCACCACUGGCUGCAGGUAGGCGGCGUUGAUCCCAAGGGGCUCUUGAGAGCCAUAGGGAGGAGGGAUAUAUUGCACCACAGUGGCCCCAUGGAAGGUGAUGGGCUGGUUGAUACCAGUGAAAACAAAUGAUUGUCCUCCCGCCGUCUGCUCCGAAUCCAGAGCCCUUUCCUCACUUUCUUUGCACACCUGGCAGGAGAGCAUUUUGAACUUGCACACAGCAAUCAGGAUGAAUGUCACUCCGACCGAUAGCAGGAUGGGCCCAAGGAGCUGGGUCCAUUCAAAGUGAGAGACACCUUGGUAUUUGAUCCAGCCCAUGAUGGUGAACGUGAUCCCCACUAGUCCCAGGAAGAUGCCUGAGAAGAGCAAGGUGGCCCCUGCCUUGUCAUCAUCGGACACCUGGAUGUCAGCGGUACUGGGUGUGUAAGGAGUGACCGAAAACACGUUGAGAGGGAAGUCGUCCAAGCGGCUGCCGCCCUGCUCCAUCGUCCGCACGCAAUCACCCCGCUUCCCAGAGGGGAAAGGGAUUAUGAGAGCUCCUCAGAGCACAGCAAAGCAAUCACAGCCUCCGAUUAGUUAUGGAAGAACUUUGGGCCCUGUGGUUAACAGAGUAUAACAGGCAGAGGCCUGAACUUUGUUUAGACGAGUAAAGGUCUGAGAAAUGAAGCUUGAAGUUUUCUUAUACAUUGUCCGCGAUUGGCGGGCCUUUGUUUUACAAUUCAAUGACAAGCCCUUUCUCAUUCACAUUCAUUCAUUCAUUCAUUCAUGAAUUCAAAAAGUGUUUGAGCCUGUCCUUUUGUGCCACGAGGUGCUUUUCUAGAUGCUAAAGGAACCGCUCCCGGGCCCUGUUUGCAUCCUGCCAAAACCAGGAUUCUAGAAAUGGCAGAGGGACCUCCGGGGCCUCUGGCAGAACAGGGGCCCUUGAUGUACCCAUCGCAUGCUCAAACACCUAACCCGCUUUUCCUGCUGGGUCAACUCACUGGAAGGGAACAGACACACAUUUCUUGACUGUGUCGUCCUUCCCACGUCAGGGGGCUUGACCUGUGAUGACCCUUAACCACCCACAGCCCUCACCGAGCUCUUAGGCGCUGCUGUCUUCUGGUCAGCCCAUAUGCCUUUUGCUUUCAGCCUUGGGGAACAGUUCCAACCAGGGGUGAGGAAGGACCCCCUAGGAAACCUUCCUAUGCACCACAUCAGUGGCAAAAGUUGAAUGAGCGUCAGGUAUGACCUGGCAUCUAGGGGACACCUGCUGCAGACCCUCCGUCUGUGGUGGCAGCACGGUCCCUGGUCUCCAAGGUGAAGUCAACACCGGCUCUUUUUUUAAAGGGAACAUUUUUUUUUUUAUUAAUUUUUUUUGAGGGGAGGGGUAGAAGGAGAGAGAGAAUCUCAAGCAGGCUCCAUGUUCGGUGGCUUUUUAAGCCUGCUGUGUUUGCAACCAAACUCAAGCUAAUUCAGAGAAGAAAGCUUGACCUUUAAUGACAUUAUCGGUCAUUCAUGAUUGCAGAACUCGAAAGCGGCCCCAUAAAUUUGUUUCUCCACAGAAUAGUAACUGUAAUCCCUUUCCUUUCCUGGACAGGCCUUACCCAAACAGAUGUGUCUCUUCAGUGGUCAAAUAUUAUAUUAGCUCCCUUUCCCAUUAAUAAGCAGAGGUCUGGGAAAAGAGUUGCCCUCUUGCCCUAGACAAGGCUUCCAAACUUUCCUAAUGAUACAAAUCACCAGGGCCACUUUCUUUAAGGGCAAACUCUAAGUUCCUAACUCAGACCAACAGAAUCAAAACUUCCAAGGAAGUGUGAAUGCCCCGAGUGGCUUUUAUCAUCGGAAUCUUUGUUAACCUACUCCAAGUUAAUCCCAAGUGCUGCUGGAAGACCAGUGGACUUUGUUUCCCACCAAAAACGCCUCCCCUCUGCUACAGGACAAGGCCUGUAAUCUCUAACUUCAUUUCCAGCUGGGAAAGCAAGCAGGUGACCCCCCUCGGAUAUCUUCCCAGAUGUGUCCUUAAGCAGCCAGAUGGGCUGGUGGUGCAUUUGAAGCCCUCUGCCGCUUUUCCCACUGAGCUAGAUCAAAGACCCAGAGAAGCCAGCUUUUCUCUCUAAUCAUAAAAAUUCUGAUCAGCUAGCCUGACAUUCUUUUCAUGCUCUUAAUCCCUGAGUUAACAGUUGAAACAGUCCUUGGCAUUUAGAAAAAGCUAGGCUUUCAAAAUUCUUCUUCUAAAUCACUCAGUUUAUAUUUUUCAUUUGUCUGUAGCUAUGUCCACUUGCAGCUAAGAGAGUAACUGGGAACACUGAAGGAGCAGGGUGGAGGGAUCGCCUUUAUGAAAAUAUCCCAUGAGAGCAAAACUGGAAUGACUUUCACAGCAGACAGUCCAGGGAAUUCUCUUGUUACACUCUCAAGGUCACCUUGAUUUAGCUUCUCCCUCCAAAAGCACAAACUCUGUGUAUAUGGUAAAUAACAAUUAAAAAACAAAACAAAACAAACCCCUAACAAACUGAAUUCAACAGCAUAUUAAAAUGAUUAUGUGCUAUGACAACCAAGUGGGAUUUAUUCUUGGAAUGCAAGGAUAGUUCAACAUUCAAAAGCCAAUCAAUGUAAUACAUGAACAGAAUGAAGGGGGAGGCGGGGAACCCAGUGCUUAUAUCCGAAAAAAAAGUGUUAGGGUUCAUUGAACAUAUUAUGGACCAGGCAUGAUUCUGGAUAUUUAAUAUGCAUGGUAUCAUUUCACCCUUUUAACAACCAGGUUAUAGUCAAUCAAGAAAAUGAUGCUGAGCUCCAGGGCCUGGGGUCACUUGCAUAUUUGACCACUGCAGCUUCAUGGCAGCGGGGCCCUGGACACCCACGACCACAAAAUAACAUCUGACUCUGCUUUUCCCUCUAAAGUCAUUUUGACUUUAGUCAUUUCUUAGUUUAGAUCCUACUUAAUUAAUGAUGUGCUUAAUUUAAUUCUUAUAUAUACAUGAUUUGCAUAUGUAGAUAACGUCUAGAAUUAUGUAUGGUGUUACGUUUACAUUUGAGUAGAUUGCCUGUUAUUUCAGCCAUUAAUGUAUUUCAGCAUGGAAAGAGACAUUUAAAACAAUAAGAUUAUUUUAGGAUGAGAAAAGAAAAGAACGCUAUGCUGGUAAUUAAGCUCCAAACCAUCCUUAGGUACUCUGCUUUAGCGAAGACUCUACCAAGGAGAUUUUUCCUUUGCCAGGUGGCUCCAUGUUAGGCUCUGCCCAUAGGGCGCACUGGAGGGAGACUGCAAGAGAAAGAAAUUACUAUUUCCUGUUUUGCUUGCUGUUACUGUCAGUAGAUUUCAUCAUUCUGGCUGUGACAGUUCCAAUUUCUAGGCGUCCCCCUGCAACACACCCAGACCAGCCUCACGGUGCCCCUUCAAAAAUACCGGCAAUGUAUUGUAUAUUUGCAAGGUGCCAAGAGAGUACAUCUUAAAAGUUCUCAUCACAAGAAAAAUUAUGUAACUAUCCAUGGUGAUGGAUAGUAACUAUGUGGUAUAUGUGAAACUAAUACAAUGCAUGUUGAUUUAAAAAAAAAAAUGACCAGCACCAGCCAGACAGUGCUUCCUCCCCAGAGGUUUUUGGUUGUUGGUUUCGUUUACUAGAUCACUGGUUUAUUAUGAAAGGAUAUAACACAGGAACAGGCAGAUGGUAUGGGGAAAGGGCGGAGCUUCCAUGCUCUCUCCCUCCAAAUCUCCAUGUGCUCACAAUCCUGGAUAUGAGCACACAUGUGAACCUCUCCAGAGGUUCUUGGCCCAAGAUCGUCAGAUGCCAGCACUAGCUAAGCGCCAUUUUCUACUCAGAAAGCUGGGUCCCAAUUCCAUGGGGUCUCUUCUCCAAGCUUCUGCGUUGUAAUAUAAUUCCAGCCUCUUCCCUUUGCCCCCCAACCUGCUACUACCUGAGUUACGUCAGUGCUCACUUUGUGCUUUUUCAGUCCCCCAAUAUCUGUUGAAUUUCCUAUAUUAAAUCUUUCUAUUAAAAUAGCUGGUAAAGUUUCUGUUCCCCUAACUGGAUCCUGACUGGUACAUAAUAUUAAUAGUGGGGUUAGGAAACAGACCUACAAAAAUGGGAUUAUGGGGUUGGUUUGGUCAUUUCUUGGCCUCAAAGAUAGUGCUGAGCUCCUUGUCAAUGAAGAAUGGGAUGUUAGUAACCUAUGGCAUGCAGUAAUAUCAAAACUAAUCAAAGCAUCACUUGUAGUAGGCUGUGAGGAAGUUCCCGGUGAAGAAAGUGAUGUAAAGACCAAGUGGCUGCUACAUUUAACCACGGUGGUAGCAACAAUGGACUGUGAGGUCUGUGGGAGUAGGGUGGCUGCAUUGGGGUGCCCUAGAAUAGUUAAAUAGAACAUUAACGAGCUCAAGGCUUUAAACUCUCAGCUCAAGUAAUGGUCAGGAAACCAAAGAGCUUCUACGGUGGCCCUAAAAGAAUGUCUUUUCUAUUUUUCUAGUACCUGCAGGGCUGACCUCCCUAAAAAUCAAACACACAACUCAAAUAUGCAGGUUACAUAAUUACGACAAAAGUUUAAUUUGAAGCCUCAUCAAGUAUGUCAUAUGCAAGGUCAGGGGCUUGUGAAGGAUUGGGCUCCUGAGAUUUAGAAGGAGGACACCCAUGGAAACUCAGAUGAAGUUGAUAAUCUUGAGCCCCCAAGUCAUUCUGAGCCAUCCUUGUUAGCGGAAGCAACUGUGUCCUCUUACUCUUUUUGGAGACACUGUGGUAACCUCAACUGAAGUAGCAAACGAUGCCUCGUUUCCUCAAAAUUCCUGCUAACCACCCCUCGUUGCCUCUGAACAUAAUGGAUCAGUUUUCAGCACACUCUAGGGAAGUGGUACAAGGUUCUGACACAGGAGAAAAGAUCUUACAGUCUCUGUGAUCGAGGAAGUCUCUCCCUUCAAUUUUAAAAUUUGAUUUUCAUUGCAGUGACAUUAUGUGCAAUGAAAACAUCCAACUUCCACCUUGCAGCUGUUCAAGAAUAUUUAGCAUUGAAACUUGACAAAUACUUGGUGACUAAGCCAACUUUGUGAGCUUUUUGUCAUUAAGAUGCAUUUACAACGACAAAAGAAAGCUAAUCAACUAAAACUACAUACUUCCAAGAAACAACUAAGGUUAGUGAAUCUGCCAUUUAGCAAAUUAGUUGUUUGGGAGAUCAACCCAGAUCCAUGACUAUGUAGAAUAAAGACUCGGUACAUCAUCGACAUCUAGGCUUGUGUCAAAACAUUAAAAGUUGAUCUCAGUCUUUCACUGAUUGUUCAAAUAUGGCUUUUUAGCACAUUAAAAUGUAUCUUUCGCGGCCCCUGAGUGGCUCAGUUGGUUAAGCUUCCAACUCUUGAUCUCAGCUCAGGUCUUGAUCUCAGGGUUGUGAGUGCCGGCCCCAAGUUGGGCUUCAUGCUGAGUAUGAAGCCUACUUCAAAAAAAAAAAAAAGUCUCGUUUGAUGAAAGCACUCUUUUUGGUUUGGCUAACUCUUUCGACCUAAACUUUUUUCAGCCACAUCUAUAGACCAGACCCACCUUCUUCGGAGGCAGUCAUGACACUGACCUUGCAGGAAAUUUCAGGUAGUGUUUUAUUUGCUCGUUUGGUUGUGGUUUAUGAUUUUAUAGAAAUGGAAUCACGUUAAUCUUUGGCUCUUUUUUUACCUAGCAGCUCAUGCCGUCUUUCCCAAAUCCAUACAAUUUAUUUUUAAUAUUCUGACGAAAAGGACUGCUUGAUACGGUUACAGCUGAGCAUUUCUCCAGCAAGAUAUAUCAAGAUAUGAAAUUGAGAUCAAGGAUUAAGCUCAUUUUUUGCCACAGUAAUAAAAUCCAUAACCUGAAUAAGAAUCCAGGGUAAAAAAAACAUUUAAACUUUGGUAGAGGCACUGUUGUGGCAAGAGUGUAGGAAAACAGACAACUUUAAGUUGUGAGAACCUAACUGGGUACAACGUCUUUUUUUUGGAACAGAGUGAUUUGGCAAUAUCUAUUACAAUUGAAAAUGCACAUACAGUUGAAUUCAAGAAGAUGCAAGUAUUUUCUUCUAGGAAUGUAACCUACAUAUAUAUUUUACACUAAAGAGUGUCUUAGCAGAAUAGACAAUGAAUGUCUGCACUGUCAGUGCACAGCCUGCUUGGGAUUCUCUCUCUCCCUCUCUCUCUGCCCCUCCCCACCCAUCCCCCUCCCCACAAAAGAGCAAGCAGGUCUAUAAGAACAGGUAUGAGAUGAUCUUUAAGAUGUGUUGUAUCCUGUUGUAUAGUAUAUUUACUAUGCUACCAUUUGCAAGGGGAAAGUGGUAUAUGCUUGUCACUGAAUGUAUGUGCUUAAAAUAUCACUGAAAGGAUGCACAAUAAACUGGGAUAGAGAAGUGGCUGGGUGUUCCAGUUAUCUAUGUAUAACAAACAGUGAUCUAUAUAACAAGCCACCCCCAAACAUUGUGGCUUGAAACACAAUUCCAUAGGCUGACUGAGUUUUGCUGGGCAGUCUGCUAGGAAUGCAGCCAUCUGUCAGCCCAAGACUUACAGACUGAGCUCAACAUCCAAGAUGGUUCACUCACACGGCUGGGAGUUCUGCUGGCUGUUGUUAGGAGCUCAGCAAGGUUGUUCACCAGAGCUCCUACCUGUGGUCUUUCCAUGUGAUUUUUCCCAGCACGGUGCCUGGCUCUCAAGAGGGAGUGUCCUAAGAGUGAGCAUUCCAUGGGUCCCAGGUGGAAGCUGCAAGGAUCUUACGACCUAGCUUGGAAGUCUCAGAAUAUCACUUGUGUUUCAUUCUGUUGCUCAAGCAGACCAUUAAGCCAAGCCAGAUACAAAAGGAAUGGAAUUAGAUUCUUCCUCUCUAUGGGAAGAGUGUCAAGGACACAGUGCAUGUGGAAUAGGAGAUAAUAUUGCCAUCCUCUGGAAAUACAAUCUUCCAUAGAGAGAUACUGACUUUUUUACUGUUUAGUCUGUGAUACUUCUUGAACUUCUGUCCACAUGGACAUCCAAGUGUGUUUCAAGAUUUUAGAUCAACCACAUUUGUAAUUGUUUAUGGUUGGUUAGUAACCUCAUCCUUCUUUACAGACAAGUUCUCGGGAGGACUCAUGGGGUUACACUGUCACAGCCCUCAGUAACAUCAUGUUCUGAAUUGUCCUGAGUUUCUUGCACAUUUUCACUGCUUGUCAGGCUUACCCAUCAAACUUCCUGUUUUUAACCACCAACCCACAGUCUUAGUUAAAAAUUGUAAUUUUGAAAUGAUUAUAGUUCAAAGAGAUCAAUGAAAAGUGACACUGAAACCACAAAAACAGAGUUAUCAGAGAACUCUUGUGGGAAGUGAAACUAAGCAUGGUCAUGCAUUUGUUACCAAAACAUUUGAUUUCAGCACAUUGUGGUGGGAAGGAAACUGCUUUGUGGAGACUGUGUGUGUGUGUGUGUGUGUGUGUGUGUGUGUGUGCGCGCGCGCGCACGCGAGAUAUCAAAUGCCUGGAACCUCACCCUCGAGAGAGAGGACUCUGCACUUAAAUAAAUGUCAGGUGUCUAUAAAUCAGUUGGAGGUGGAUAUUUGAAGGAAAUCUCAAUAUUAAGAAUUAUCUACUAGCCAGCUUGUUUCAUUUACUUGAAUUAUGUCUGUGACUGCAGUUUAUAUUCCUCUUUUACAAAAAAAAAAAAAAAAAAAAAACCAUGGUGGUUGAAUCAUAGCUAUAUAGUAGUC